rnacentral:rRNA from 1 species
CAGCAGCCGCGGGAACACGUAGGGUGCAAGCGUUAAUCGGAAUUACUGGGCGUAAAGCGUGCGCAGGCGGUUAUAUAAGACAGAUGUGAAAUCCCCGGGCUCAACCUGGGAACUGCAUUUGUGACUGUAUAGCUAGAGUACGGCAGAGGGGGAUGGAAUUCCGCGUGUAGCAGUGAAAUGCGUAGAUAUGCGGAGGAACACCGAUGGCGAAGGCAAUCCCCUGGGCCUGUACUGACGCUCAUGCACGAAAGCGUGGGGAGCAAACAGGAUUAGAUACCCCUGUAGUCCCUGUCUCUUAUAC